GAUGAAGAACGCAGCGAAAUGCGAUAAGUAAUGUGAAUUGCAGAAUUCAGUGAAUCAUCGAAUCUUUGAACGCACAUUGCGCCCGCCAGUAUUCUGGCGGGCAUGCCUGUUCGAGCGUCAUUUCAACCAUCAAGCCCCAGGCUUGUGUUGGGGACCUGCGGCUGCCGCAGGCCCUGAAAACCAGUGGCGGGCUCGCUAGUCACACCGAGCGUAGUAGCAUACACAUCGCUCAGGGCGUGCUGCGGGUUCCGGCCGUUAAACCCCUUUUUUACCCAAGGUUGACCUCGGAUCAGGUAGGAAGACCCGCUGAACUUAAGCAUAUCAUAAGCGGAGGA
rnacentral:misc_RNA from 1 species